CCCCUCUCAGGGUCGCUCCGGGAGAGUUUCCAAUUCUCUACCAGUCUCGACUACAGAAGGGAGAGUCAAGCAGAGGCCUAUCCAUUCCAUUCCUAGCUUGGGCAGUGCCUAGCGAGUGGAAGGCAAUCUGCUACAAAU
rfam:Ornithorhynchus anatinus chromosome 1, whole genome shotgun sequence.